rnacentral:lncRNA from 1 species
GCUCAGGUGCUUGGUGCCAGGCCCUCAAGAAGGUGGUGGGGGCUGUGUGUGUGGCUGCCGCGCAGAGCUCACCAUGUCCACAUCUGCCCCAGAAGGGCCACGACCAGCCCUUUGCCUGUCACCUGGGAGGUCUAGGAUGAGGGCCAGGGCUUAAUGAGUCUCAGGGGCACACACAGUGACCCCAGGCCGGGCACUGAGGGCAGGAGGGUCCUGGGGCCUCAGAGGGGCCUCUGUCUGCCAGGGCAGCCCAGGCCAGCAGUGACCACCAGGUGGGGCAGUGCCGGCUUCCCUGGAGUGUCUGGGGGUGGUCCCUGGGCGGGGAGAGGGUAGCAGAGCCCAAGGCCACACCUGUUGCCUCCCUCCGCUCCCUCCCCUCCCUCCUCUCCCGACACAGGCUGGCGGCUCCAGAGAGGUUUAAACACUGGCCUUGGCGGCUGAGGGAGGAGGGUGAAGAUGAGGCAGGGGCUGCUGGUGCUGGCGCUGGUGCUGGUGCUGGUGCUAGUGCUGGCUGCAGGGUCCCAGGUGCAGGAGUGGUACCCCAGGGAGUCCCACGCCCUCAACUGGAACAAGGUGAGCCAUGUGCCACUGGUCCCUGAGCCGGGCGCCGGCUCUGGAGCUGGAGCAGGCUCCUGCACAGUCUCCCGGCAGCCGCCCAGGAGCAGGGCUACCAGCAGUUCCAGGCACGGGCGCUGCCCACCUGGCCUCUCCCACUGCAGCCUCCAGCACAGGGGCCCCGCAAGUUGCAGGGCAAAGGCAGGGAGCCUCGAGGGGGUUCGGGGGCCCAGGGGGGUCAGGGAGGGCCAGGGUGGAGGGGCCCAGAGAGCUGUGGCCGAGGAGGUCGGGAGACGCCCAGAGUGCAGAGUGGGUGUGGAGCAAGCGGGGCAUAUUCUGUAGCGGGAGGGCCCGGGCACCUGCUGAGUGAGCCGUGGGAGCAGCACUCAUUGGCACGGCGGUGCCCAGGGCGCUAGGGUUGGCAGCAGGCAGAGUUGGGGGCCGGGGGCCGGCAGGAAGGGAAGUGGCCGAGCAGUACCCAGCCCCCAGGAGGCCAUGUGGGAAGGAGCCGGGGCCUCUGAGGUAGGGGGCCUCCCACCUGCUGGCGCCCACAGCCCAGCCCUUUGCUGCCUGGGGUCCCUGACCAGCCGGGCACCUGCUUCUCUGCAGCCCUGCUCCAGUGGCCAGGGCUUGAGUGGCCGGGACCGAGGCGGCACCUGGGCGGAGCUGGGACUCCGGCUCACAGAAGGGUCAUUUGUCUCCUGGGUUCUCUAGCUGGGAACCUCGGGGGUGGGGACAGCCCCCGGUGGCAGCUCCUGUCCCCGCCCACACAUCCGCUGCGCAGUUUUCAGGGUUCUGGUACAUUCUGGCCACUGCCACUGAUGCCCAGGGAUUCUUGCCGGCCAGGGACAAGAGGAAGCUGGGGGCGUCCGUGGUAAAGGUGAACAAAGUGGGCCAGCUCCGCGUGCUCCUCGCCUUCAGACGAGGAAGCCACCUGCAGCCCCUGGGACCCCACAUGGGUGGGUGUUGGGAGGAAGCUGCCUGCAGACCUUGGGACCCCACAUGGGUUGAAGGGGUGCCAGUCCCAGGAGGUGAUCCUGAGGAAAGACGGGAAGAAGCCGGUGUUUGGGAACGCCUGUGCAUACGCGGCGGGCCCGAGGGAAGGACAGGAGGGAGUGAAAGGGGUGAAGGCCUUCCACGUGCUGUCCACUGACUACAGCUACGGCUUGGUCUACCUCCGCCUGGGGCGUGCAACCCAAAACUACAAGAACCUGCUGCUCUUCCAUAGGCAGAAUGUUUCGAGCUUCCAGAGUCUGAAGGAAUUCAUGGACGCUUGUGACAUUCUGGGGCUCUCCAAGGCCGCCGUCAUCCUCCCGAAAGACGCGUCCCGUACACACACCAUCCUGCCAUGAGAGCCAGCGUCCUCUGCUCUUCCCUUUCGACGCGUGGUCCUCCCAGACCCGAGGAGCGUUGUUCCAGAUGUCAAGUGGAGACCACGGCUUGUUGAGAGGUGUUUGGUGACUCUAGGUCAUUGACAGUGUGAAAAUCAAGUGGCUCAAGGGAUCCUUUAUGAUCACAGAAAGAUGGGGGAAGGAGGAUACAGGCUGACCGGGUGGCGAGAUGUCAGCCAGGCCCCUUCCCCACUGUCUUCUGGAGCACACUGCAGGCUGCUGCUAUUCCCUGUCUGCUGUGAAACAGACCACAGGCCGGCCCAACGCAGUCCUCGCCGUGUGCCUUGCCUCUGCCCUCCACGCCGCCGCCACCCUCCGCGUUCCUUUACAUCCUGCACUUUCUCAGGAAGCCGUUCGCAUAUCCACCCAACAUGGAGGAGCCCCCAUGACGUGCCAGGCAGCGUGCUGGCCCCUGCGGCUGCGUUAGGGAACAGAAUCGGCAAACGCAGUCCCAGAGUUGAUGCCUGAUCAGGAGAAGCCAACUUCAGCAGUGUGGUCACCUGGAUACUCGAGUAUAGACCCUAGAUCACCUGGAUACUCGAGUAUAGACCCUAGAAGUGUAUCUAGGCGCGGCCAGGGCCCCACAACAGCAGGUCUGACUCAUUCCAUCCAGGGCAGCAUCAGGGAGAGCUUCCUGGGGGAAGUGGCAUUUGGGCUGACCUGGGAAGGGUGGUGGGUGUUAAGUCAGUUUGGGUGGGGCUGGAGGAGCAGGGGUGCAUCCCCAGAACAGGAUGUGACUUCUGAAAAGACAUCAGAGUAGAGAAAAUGGUUUCUCAAGGAGAUUGGGGACGCCAGUAUCAGAAUGGCGGCGGGGAGAGCCACAGAGGAGCAGGAGGGGGCCCACCAGACCACGGCACCUCGAAGGCUGCGGUGAAGGCUUAGGUCUCACUCAAGGGGUGAUGACGGGAGGUUGUCUGAGAUGAACCCCCCAACUGAAUGAAUGGACCUUCUUCUGGCCAAGGGGAUCCCAAAGAAACCCUGAACCCGAGUCCUCAGCCAUGACGGGGUAAGGGGUCAGCCCCUCCUUCUGGCCCGAGAAGAGAUCAGAGAUUGGUUCUGGGCAGUCCAUGGAGAAUUUGCUCAGCUGGACCAGUACACGCUUCUCCUUUCAUGAAUAUUCAUGACUCCUCCUGAAGCUUAUUGAACAUCUCUAUUUGGCCAUCUCCUUCAGCGUAAAUUCCUGUCCCCUCUGUCCCUCCCCUCCAAGUGUCUGUUCCAGGCUUCUGGCCUGAGGCUACGCUUCCUAGCCUGUCAGAAGGGCUGCCCUGCUGGCUGCAAUCUCUUAUGAGAAAUAAAGCUCUCCUGUGUGCAAAAAAGUA